rnacentral:rRNA from 1 species
AGGAUGAACGCUGGCGGCGUGCCUAAUACAUGCAAGUCGAACGAAGUCUUCGGACUUAGUGGCGAACGGGUGAGUAACACGUUGGUACCUACCCCGAAGUGGGGAAUAACUGGCCGAAAGGUCGGCUAAUACCGCAUAAUCCCGCAAGGGUAAAGCAGUAAUGCGCUUCGGGAGGGGCCUGCGUCCCAUUAGCUAGUUGGUAGGGUAAUGGCCUACCAAGGCGACGAUGGGUAGCUGGAUCGAGAGGUUGACCAGCCACACUGGGACUGAGAUACGGCCCAGACUCCUACGGGAGGCAGCAGUAAGGAAUCUUCCACAAUGGACGAAAGUCUGAUGGAGCAACGCCGCGUGCAGGAUGACGGUCUUCGGAUUGUAAACUGCUUUUAUAUGGGAAGAUUAUGACGGUACCAUAUGAAUAAGGACCGGCUAACUACGUGCCAGCAGCCGC